rnacentral:rRNA from 1 species
UAUCUCUGUAGAGUCUGCAUAUCAAUAAGCGGAGGAAAAGAAACUAACAAGGAUUCCCCUAGUAACGGCGAGUGAAGCGGGAAGAGCUCAAAUUUGAAAUCUUCAAGGUUUGACCUUGACGAAUUGUAGUUUAAAGAGGUGUUUUCGGUUAGAGGAGUGGUAAAAGUUCUUUGGAAUAGGACAUCAUAGAGGGUGAGAAUCCCGUAUUUGACCAUUCUUUCUAGCUUUGUGAUACACUUUCAAAGAGUCGGAUUGUUUGGGAAUGCAGUCCAAAAUGGGUGGUAAAUUUCAUCUAAAGCUAAAUAUUGGCGAGAGACCGAUAGCGAACAAGUACCGUGAGGGAAAGAUGAAAAGAACCUUGAAAAGAGAGUUAAACAGUACGUGAAAUUGUCAAAAGGGAAGCGUUUGACACCAGUGUUGUUUUUCCGAAAAUCAAUUAAAAAUGGAUUCAUGCUAAGUUGUAUUGACCUUAUCAGCUUGCAAUUUAGUUUUGGGUUUCUUUUUGAUGCACUUUUCGGUUAACAAGUCAACAUCAAUUUCCUUUGCUGUAAAAAGGCAGGAGGAAGGUGGCUUCAAUUUCGGUUGAAGUGUUUAUAGCCUUCUGUCUCUGCAGUCGGGGAGAUUGAGGUCUGCAGCGUAGAUCCUUCGGGGCUAGAUACAUUCGUGCUAAGUUAUAGCCUUUUAUAGACAACUUGUUGACUAUGAUUGGUCUUGUAAUUUACUCGCGAGUGCUAUUUUACCUACGCUUAGGAUGUUGAUCUACAGAGCGAGAGU